AGUGAACGCUGGCGGCAGGCCUAAUACAUGCAAGUCGAACGGCAGCACAGCAGAGCUUGCUCUGUGGGUGGCGAGUGGCGGACGGGUGAGGAAUACAUGGGAAUCUGCCCAGUCGUGGGGGAUAACGUAGGGAAACUUACGCUAAUACCGCAUGCGCCCUUCGGGGGAAAGCCGGGGACCUUCGGGCCUGGCGCGAUUGGAUGAGCCCAUGUCGGAUUAGCUAGUUGGCGGGGUAAUGGCCCACCAAGGCGACGAUCCGUAGCUGGUCUGAGAGGAUGAUCAGCCACACUGGAACUGAGACACGGUCCAGACUCCUACGGGAGCAGCAGUAGGGAAUAUUGGACAAUGGCGCAAGCCUGAUCCAGCCAUGCCGCGUGAGUGAAGAAGGCCCUCGGGUUGUAAAGCUCUUUUGUCCGGAAAGAAAGCGCCGGGUUAAUACCCUGGUGUCCUGACGGUACCGGAAGAAUAAGCACCGGCUAACUUCGUGCC
rnacentral:rRNA from 1 species